GAUGAACGCUAGCUACGGGCUUAACACAUGCAAGUCGCGGGGCAGCAUGGGGGUUGCUUGCAAUCCCCGAUGGCGACCGGCGCACGGGUGAGUAGCGCGUAUCCAACCUGCCCUUCACCGCGGGCUAACCCGGCGAAAGUCGGACUACUACCGUCAGUUGUUCAUAGAUGGCAUCCGAUUGAGACGAGCGAUUGGUCCACGAAGGGUGGGGAUGCCGCCGUUUUGCUGGAUGGCGGGGUGACGGGCCCACGUGGCGACGAUCGGUAGGGGUUCUGAGAGGAAGGUCCCCCAGACUGGAACUGAGACCCGGUCCAGACCCGUACGGGAGGCAGCGGUGAGGAAGAUUGGUCGAUGGGCGUAAGCCGGAACCAGCCAAGUAGCGUGCAGGAGGACGGCCAUAUGGGUCGUAAACUGCUUUUAUGCGGGGAUAAAGUGGCCCACGUGUGGGUUUUUGCAGGUACCGCAUGAAUAAGGACCGGCUAAUUCCGUG
rnacentral:rRNA from 1 species